rnacentral:rRNA from 1 species
CCUACGGGAGGCAGCAGUGGGGAAUAUUGCACAAUGGGGGAAACUCUGAUGCAGCGACGCAGCGUGCGGGAAGAAGGAAUUCGGUAUGUAAAGCUCUAUUAGCAGGGAAGAAAAUGACGGUACCUGAGUAAGAAGCCACGGCUAACUACGUGCCAGAAGCCGCGGUAAUACGUAGGGGGCAAGCGUUAUACGGAUUUACUGGGUGUAAAGGGAGCGUAGACGGCAGUGCAGGUCUGUAGUGAAAGGCGGGGGCUCAACCCCCGGACUGCGCUGGAAACUGGACGGCUGGAGUGCAGGAGAGGUAAGUGGAAUUCCUAGUGUAGCGGUGAAAUGCGUAGAUAUUAGGAGGAACACCAGUGGCGAAGGCGGCUUACUGGACUGUAACUGACGUUGAGGCUCGAAAGCGUGGGUAGCAAACAGGAUUAGAUACCCCAGUAGUC